UGGGGAAUAUUGCACAAUGGGGGAAACCCUGAUGCAGCAACGCCGCGUGCGGGAUGACGGCCUUCGGGUUGUAAACCGCUUUCAGCCAUGACGAAGCUUUUGUGACGGUAGUGGCAGAAGAAGCACCGGCUAACUACGUGCCAGCAGCCGCGGUGAUACGUAGGGUGCGAGCGUUGUCCGGAAUUAUUGGGCGUAAAGAGCUUGUAGGCGGUUUGUCGCGUCGAAAGUGUAAACUCAGUGCUUAACGCUGAGCCUGCUUUCGAUACGGGCUGACUAGAGGAAGGUAGGGGAGAAUGGAAUUCCCGGUGGAGCGAUGGAAUGCGCAGAUAUCGGGAGGAACACCAGUGGCGAAGGCGGUUCUCUGGACCUUUCCUGACGCUGAGAAGCGAAAGCGUGGGUAGCAAACAGG
rnacentral:rRNA from 1 species